rnacentral:rRNA from 1 species
CUGACCGAUAGUGAAUCAGUACCGUGAGGGAAAGGCGAAAAGAACCCCGGCGAGGGGAGUGAAAAAGAACCUGAAACCGUGUACGUACAAGCAGUGGGAGCCUCUUAAUGGGGUGACUGCGUACCUUUUGUAUAAUGGGUCAGCGACUUAUAUUCUGUAGCAAGGUUAACCGAAUAGGGGAGCCGAAGGGAAACCGAGUCUUAACUGGGCGUUAAGUUGCAGGGUAUAGACCCGAAACCCGGUGAUCUAGCCAUGGGCAGGUUGAAGGUUGGGUAACACUAACUGGAGGACCGAACCGACUAAUGUUGAAAAAUUAGCGGAUGACUUGUGGCUGGGGGUGAAAGGCCAAUCAAACCGGGAGAUAGCUGGUUCUCCCCGAAAGCUAUUUAGGUAGCGCCUCGUGAAUUCAUCUCCGGGGGUAGAGCACUGUUUCGGCAAGGGGGUCAUCCCGACUUACCAACCCGAUGCAAACUGCGAAUACCGGAGAAUGUUAUCACGGGAGACACACGGCGGGUGCUAACGUCCGUCGUGAAGAGGGAAACAACCCAGACCGCCAGCUAAGGUCCCAAAGUCAUGGUUAAGUGGGAAACGAUGUGGGAAGGCCCAGACAGCCAGGAUGUUGGCUUAGAAGCAGCCAUCAUUUAAAGAAAGCGUAAUAGCUCACUGGUCGAGUCGGCCUGCGCGGAAGAUGUAACGGGGCUAAACCAUGCACCGAAGCUGCGGCAGCGACGCUUAUGCGUUGUUGGGUAGGGGAGCGUUCUGUAAGCCUGUGAAGGUGUGCUGUGAGGCAUGCUGGAGGUAUCAGAAGUGCGAAUGCUGACAUAAGUAACGAUAAAGCGGGUGAAAAGCCCGCUCGCCGGAAGACCAAGGGUUCCUGUCCAACGUUAAUCGGGGCAGGGUGAGUCGACCCCUAAGGCGAGGCCGAAAGGCGUAGUCGAUGGGAAACAGGUUAAUAUUCCUGUACUUGGUGUUACUGCGAAGGGGGGACGGAGAAGGCUAUGUUGGCCGGGCGACGGUUGUCCCGGUUUAAGCGUGUAGGCUGAUUUUCCAGGCAAAUCCGGAAAAUCAAGGCUGAGGCGUGAUGACGAGGCACUACGGUGCUGAAGC